GACGAACGCUGGCGGCGUGCCUAAUACAUGCAAGUCGAGCGCAGGAAACUGACGGAACUCUUCGGAGGGAAGGCAGCGGAAUGAGCGGCGGACGGGUGAGUAACACGUAAGGAACCUGCCUCAAGGAUUGGGAUAACUCCGAGAAAUCGGAGCUAAUACCGGAUAGUUCAUCGGACCGCAUGGUCCGUUGAUGAAAGGCGCUCCGGCGUCACCUUGAGAUGGCCUUGCGGUGCAUUAGCUAGUUGGUGGGGUAACGGCCCACCAAGGCGACGAUGCAGAGCCGACCUGAGAGGGUGAUCGGCCACACUGGGACUGAGACACGGCCCAGACUCCUACGGGAGGCAGCAGUAGGGAAUCUUCCACAAUGGACGAAAGUCUGAUGGAGCAACGCCGCGUGAGUGAUGAAGGUUUUCGGAUCGUAAAACUCUGUUGUAAGGGAAGAACACGUACGAGAGGGAAUGCUCGUACCUUGACGGUACCUUACGAGAAAGCCACGGCUAAUUACGUGCCAGCCGCCGCGGUAAGAC
rnacentral:rRNA from 1 species